UCUACUUCUCAGCAUAAUGAGAUUUCUUCUACUGAGAGUUAGGAAGUUUUCAAAGCCAAGUAUUGGGACAGAAUUGGUUAUCAACACAAAAAACAAAGCCAAUCAUGAGAAGCUUUAAAGUUAUGUGAUGGAAGAAUUGAGAUCAUACCAUGCACGCUUUCAGA